rnacentral:rRNA from 1 species
ACUGGCGUAAAGCGCGCGUAGGUGGCUUGAUAAGCCGGGUGUGAAAGCCCCGGGCUCAACCUGGGAACGGCAUCCGGAACUGUCAAGCUAGAGUGCAGGAGAGGAAGGUAGAAUUCCCGGUGUAGCGGUGAAAUGCGUAGAGAUCGGGAGGAAUACCAGUGGCGAAGGCGGCCUUUCUGGACUGACACUGACACUGAGGUGCGAAAGCGUGGGUAGCAAACAGGAUUAGAUACCCUGGUAGUCCACGCCGUAAACGAUGUCGACCAGCCGUUGGGUGCCUAGCGCACUUUGUGGCGAAGUUAACGCGAUAAGUCGACCGCCUGGGGAGUACGGCCGCAAGGUUAAAACUCAAAUGAAUUGACGGGGGCCCGCACAAGCGGUGGAGCAUGUGGUUUAAUUCGAUGCAACGCGAAGAACCUUACCUACUCUUGACAUCCUGCGAAUUUGGUAGAGAUACCUUAGUGCCUUCGGGAACGCAGAGACAGGUGCUGCAUGGCUGUCGUCAGCUCGUGUUGUGAAAUGUUGGGUUAAGUCCCGUAACGAGCGCAACCCUUGUCCUUAUUUGCCAGCGCGUAAUGGCGGGAACUCUAAGGAGACUGCCGGUGACAAACCGGAGGAAGGUGGGGACGACGUCAAGUCAUCAUGGCCCUUACGAGUAGGGCUACACACGUGCUACAAUGGUCGGUACAAAGGGUUGCCAACUCGCGAGAGUGAGCCAAUCCCGAAAAGCCGAUCUCAGUCCGGAUCGGAGUCUGCAACUCGACUCCGUGAAGUCGGAAUCGCUAGUAAUCGUAGAUCAGAAUGCUACGGUGAAUACGUUCCCGGGCCUUGUACACACCGCCCGUC